rnacentral:rRNA from 1 species
CACACCGCCCGUCACAUCAUGAAAAGCCGUUUGUACCCGAAGUCGCUACGCUAACCGCAAGGAAGCCGGUGCCGAAAGGUAUGGAUGGUGAUUGGGAUGAAGUCGUAACAAGGUACCC